rnacentral:tRNA from 1 species
GGCAAGGUGGCCGAGCGGUCUAAGGCGCGCGGUUAAGGUCCGCGUCAUUAAUUUGGCGUGGGUUCGAAUCCCACCCUUGUCA